rnacentral:rRNA from 1 species
GAUGAACGCUGGCGGCGUGCCUAAUACAUGCAAGUCGAGCGAACAGACGAGGAGCUUGCUCCUCUGACGUUAGCGGCGGACGGGGGAGUAACACGUGGAUAACCUACCUAUAAGACUGGGAUAACUUCGGGAAACCGGAGCUAAUACCGGAUAAUAUAUUGAACCGCAUGGUUCAAUAGUGAAAGACGGUUUUGCUGUCACUUAUAGGUGGAUCCGCGCCGCAUUAGCUAGUUGGUAAGGUAACGGCUUACCAAGGCAACGAUGCGUAGCCGACCUGAGAGGGUGGUCGGCCACACUGGAACUGAGACACGGUCCAGACUCCUACGGGAGGCAGCAGUAGGGAAUCUUCCGCAAUGGGCGGAAGCCUGACGGAGCAACGCCGCGUGAGUGAUGAAGGUCUUCGGAUCGUAAAACUCUGUUAUUAGGGAAGAACAAAUGUGUAAGUAACUAUGCACGUCUUGACGGUACCUAAUCAGAAAGCCACGGCUAACUACGUG